UACGUAGGGGCAAGCGUUGUCCGGAAUCAUUGGGCGUAAAGAGCGUGUAGGCGGCCCGAUAAGUCCGCUGUGAAAGUCCAGGGCUCAACCCUGGGAUGCCGGUGGAUACUGUCGGGCUCGAGUCCGGAAGAGGAGUGUGGAAUUCUGGUGUAGCGGUGAAAUGCGCAGAUAUCAGGAGGAACACCAAUGGCGAAGGCAGCACUCUGGGACGUGACU
rnacentral:rRNA from 1 species